GGUCCCUAUCUGGCGUGGGAGCGGGAGAACUGAGGGGGGCGUAUCCGAGUANRGAGAGGAYMGGAGYGGACGCAUCACKGGUGUUAGGGUUGUCAUGCCAAUKGCACKGCCCGGUAGSUAAAUGCGGAAGAGAUAAGUGCUGAAAGCAKCUAAGCACGAAACUUGCCCCGAGAKGAGUUCUCCCUGACUCCUUGAGAGUCCUGAAGGAACGUUGAAGACGACGACGUUGAUAGGCCGGGUGUGUAAGCGCAGCGAUGCGUUGAGCUAACCGGUACUAAUGAACCGUGAGGCUUAACCUUACAACGCCGAAG
rnacentral:rRNA from 1 species